CACUCCGCUGCUCAUUCAAUUUCCUGCUCUUUGCAUUGCUUACAUUUUGACUCUCUUUCCCUUUUUUUCAGAUUAAGCUUCACUUCCUGGAUCACUUCUGUUUAAAUCAACCGACUGUAUAAAGACGAGCGGAAGACGGGGGGGGGAGAGAGAGAGAGCCUCUGCUUCUGCUCCCCAGCAACUGACAGCAAGAAAGAGAAACAGAAACACAUUUCCUGCGACCUUAAAAGGACGGCGUCAGAGCCGGAGUUGGGACAGAGGAGGACGGUGAAUUCCUUUAAUGAGAGUAAUUAGUGGCGGCAGAGGAGGACAGGCUGCGGCUCAGUGAGAUCCACUCGCCCUGUCCGGCACCGACACCACAUGCUGGCGCGAUCCAUGAAACAAGCUUUAUUGCUCUUCACACACAGUCGGAUCUGACAAGCUGGAGUUCCACAGCACGUCUCGAGGUUUUGUUCUCAAUAAAACAACGUGAGCAUCGCCUGCUGCUACGAGGCGGUUUGUCACUGUCAUUUUUUGGACUCGUGGGAGGCAAUAAAGCACAAUGAAAACAUCCCUUUGUCCCGCCGCCAUCCAAACGGAAUAGAGAGCAUAUUAAUACCAAGGACCUCCCGAGGCAGGAAGUAACCCAAGCUGCUGGGACAAACAUGGCCUCCCACAUCGUUCGGCUUCACUCAACCUUUGCUCCACUUUCUGUGCAGGGACACAGCUGCUGCAGCUCGAGACCAGAACCUUUCAGAAUCCACGUGAAAGGAAAUGAUGAAAGAAGUUAUGAGCUAAAUGAGCAUCCUGGGAACAAACCAGCUUCAUAAACCAGGUGUUUAAAGACCUGUUUUUGGAGGAAAGGUUUACUUUGUUAUGAUUUUAUUGGUUUUGACUUGUAACAUAAAGUCUGCUCAAUUUCCAGCAAAGGUGUUCAAAUGAUAGUCAUUGAUUCCCAGGUAUCCUCUUUUCCUAAAGAACGCAAAAAUGUGUUUUCUGCUGAAGGCUUCCUUGCAUUGGUGUUCACACACACAAACACACAC